rnacentral:rRNA from 1 species
CCUACGGGAGGCAGCAGUGAGGAAUAUUGGUCAAUGGACGAGAGUCUGAACCAGCCAAGUAGCGUGAAGGAUGACUGCCCUAUGGGUUGUAAACUUCUUUUAUAAAGGAAUAAAACGAGGCACGUGUGCCUUUUUGCAUGUACUUUAUGAAUACGGAUCGGCUAACUCCGUGCCAGCAGCCGCGGUAAUACGGAGGAUCCGUGCGUUAUCCGGAUUUAUUGGGUUUAAAGGGAGCGUAGAUGGGUUGUUAAGUCAGUUGUGAAAGUUUGCGGCUCAACCGUAAAAUGGCAAUUGAUACUGGCAGUCUUGAGGACAGUUGAGGUAGGCGGAAUGCGUGGUGUAGCGGUGAAAUGCUUAGAUAUCACGAAGAACCCCGAUUGCGAAGGCAGCUUACUAAACUGUGACUGACAUUGAUGCUCGAAAGUGUGGGUAGCAAACAGGAUUAGAUACCCUUGUAGUC